rnacentral:tRNA from 1 species
GGUAAGAUGGCCGAGUGUUUAGGCGGUGGACUGUAGUUCCAUAUACAGAGGUUUAAAUCCUUUUUUUACCA